ACUGCUCAGUAACACGUGGAGAACGUGCCCUUAAGUGGAGGAUAAUCUCGGGAAAUUGAGGAUAAUACUCCAUAGAUCAUGGGAUCUGGAAUGACCCAUGGUUCAAAGUUCCGGCGCUUAAGGAUCGCUCUGCGGCCUAUCAGGUAGUAGUGGGUGUAAAGUACCCCCUAGCCUAUGACGGGUAUGGGCCUUGAGAGAGGGAGCCCAGAGUUGGAUUCUGAGACACGAAUCCAGGCCCUACGGGGCGCAGCAGUCGCGAAAACUUCACACUGGGGGCAACCCCGAUGAGGGAAAUCCUAGUGCUAGGACAUUUGUUCUAGCUUUUCUCAAGCGUAGAUAACUUGAGGAAUAAGGGCUGGGUAAGACGGGUGCCAGCCGCCGCGGUAAUACCUGCAGCCCAAGUGGUGGUCGAUUUUAUUGAGUCUAAAACGUUCGUAGCCGGUUUGGUAAAUCUUUGGGUAAAUCGGGAGGCUCAACUUUCCGACUUCCGAAGAGACUGUCAAACUUGGGACCGGGAGAGGCUAGAGGUACUUCUGGGGUAGGGGUAAAAUCCUGUAAUCCUAGAAGGACCACCGGUGGCGAAGGCGUCUAGCUAGAACGGAUCCGACGGUGAGGGACGAAGCCCUGGGUCGCAAACGGGAUUAGAUACCCCGGUAGUCCAGGGUGUAAACGCUGCCGACUUGGUGUUGGAGGCCCUUCGGGGGCAUUCAGUGCCGGAGAGAAGUUGUUAAGUCGGCUACUUGGGGAGUACGUCCGCAAGGAUGAAACUUAAAGGAAUUGGCGGGGGAGCAC
rnacentral:rRNA from 1 species